rnacentral:snRNA from 1 species
AUCAGGUUUGUCACUGCUGAAUACUGAUGAUAAUAGUAGAAAAAUAUGUUCUAGAGUUAGGCAAAAACAGGUCCAGUUGAUAAAGAUAUGAAAAACCAUGAAGAUAAUCAAACUAUGCAAGUCAUCGAUAUUACCUGAAAAAAAAUAGUUCACCCUUUUAACAACCAGAUAAUAAAAGAAACUCAUAAGGAAAUUCCGAAAGAGUUGGAGUGGUUUUUCCACUCAUAAAACACAUAAUUCAAUACUAUCAUCGUUCAUUAGUGACAAAAAUCAAAUGCAAAUAUCUUCCAUGAUACAAAUCAAAUCAUUGUACAGCCAUCAAAGAAAUAUUACCAUGAUAGAGCCAAUCGAAGCGUUAUAAUUACCAUGAUAGUGCCAUUCACAUCAGAAAACGAAAAGCUUUAAUCCUAAAGGUCCACUGAAAAUGAGCAAUAUGCUUACUGAAUUCUGAAUUUCAAGUAAUGAAAGACAGAUUAAUACUGAUUAGAUUCAAUCUCAAUUUGC